GGUUUGUCGCGUUGUUCGUGAAAUCUCACGGCUUAACUGUGAGCGUGCGGGCGAUACGGGCAGACUUGAGUACUGCAGGGGAGACUGGAACUCCUGGUGUAGCGGUGGAAUGCGCAGAUAUCAGGAGGAACACCGGUGGCGAAGGCGGGUCUCUGGGCAGUAACUGACGCUGAGGAGCGAAAGCGUGGGGAGCGAACAGGAUUAGAUACCCUGGUAGUCCACGCCGUAAACGGUGGGUACUAGGUGUGGGUUUCCUUCCUUGGGAUCCGUGCCGUAGCUAACGCAUUAAGUACCCCGCCUGGGGAGUACGGCCGCAAGGCUAAAACUCAAAGAAAUUGACGGGGGCCCGCACAAGCGGCGGAGCAUGUGGAUUAAUUCGAUGCAACGCGAAGAACCUUACCUGGGUUUGACAUGCACAGGACGCCGGCAGAGAUGUCGGUUCCCUUGUGGCCUGUGUGCAGGUGGUGCAUGGCUGUCGUCAGCUCGUGUCGUGAGAUGUUGGGUUAAGUCCCGCAACGAGCGCAACCCUUGUCUCAUGUUGCCAGCGGGUAAUGCCGGGGACUCGUGAGAGACUGCCGGGGUCAACUCGGAGGAAGGUGGGGAUGACGUCAAGUCAUCAUGCCCCUUAUGUCCAGGGCUUCACACAUGCUACAAUGGCCGGUACAAAGGGCUGCGAUGCCGCGAGGUUAAGCGAAUCCUUUUAAAGCCGGUCUCAGUUCGGAUCGGGGUCUGCA
rnacentral:rRNA from 1 species